rnacentral:rRNA from 1 species
GGUCAAGUUAUUAAGGGCUACUGGUGGAUGCCUUGGCAUCAACAGGCGAUGAAGGACGCGUUUACCUGCGAUAAGCUUCGGGUAGCUGGAAGAAAGCGAUGAUCCGAAGAUUUCCGAAUGGGGGAACCCGGCAAUGUGAACCAUUGUCAUUAUUAGCUGAAUACAUAGGCUAGUAAAGCGAUACCCGCUGAACUGAAACAUCUAAGUAAGCGGAGGAAAAGAAAUCAACAGAGAUUCCUUAAGUAGCGGCGAGCGAAAGAGGAAGAGCCCAAACCGUUGAGCUUGCUCAACGGGGUUGUAGGAUCAGCUAUUGUAGUUUGAUCAACCUAACCGAACACCUUUGGAAAGAGGGACAAUACAAGGUGAUAGUCCUGUAGGUGAAAGGAUUGAUUAAGCUCAGCUGACACCUGAGUAGGGCCGGACACGUGAAACCCGGUCUGAAUCUGGGGAGACCACUCUCCAAGGCUAAAUACUAGUUGAUGACCGAUAGUGAACCAGUACCGUGAGGGAAAGGUGAAAAGAACCCCGGGAGGGGAGUGAAAUAGAACCUGAAACCAGUAGCUUACAAGCGACCGGAGGCCUAUGGUCAAUUUAUUGACAAUGGCUGACGGUGUGCCUUUUGCAUGAUGAGCCAGCGAGUUACGUUAUACGGCAAGAUUAAGGGACAUACGUUCCGGAGUCGCAGCGAAAGCGAGUGUUAAAAGCGCGUAAUUAGUCGUAUGGCGUAGACACGAAACCGAGUGAUCUAUCCAUGACCAGGUUGAAGCAAGGGUAAGACCUUGUGGAGGACCGAACCAGUUGCUGUUGCAAAAGUUUUGGAUGAGUUGUGGAUAGGGGUGAAAGGCCAAUCAAACUCGGAGAUAUCUUGUUCUCUUCGAAAUAACUUUAGGGUUAGCCUCGGAAUGAAUCGUAAUAGGGGUAGAGCACUGGAUCUACUUUGGGGGCCUACCAGCUUACCAAACGGAACCAAACUCCGAAUACUAUUGCGUUUUCCGGGAGAUAGACAGUGGGAGAUAAGUUUCAUUGUCAAAAGGGGAACAGCCCAGAUCGCCGAUUAAGGCCCCUAAUUCUAUGCUAAGUGAGUAAGGAGGUGAAAUUUCAAAAACAGUUGGGAUGUUGGCUUAGAGGCAGCCAUCAUUUAAAGAGUGCGUAACAGCUCACCAAUCGAGAAAUUUUGCGCCGAUAAUAUACGGGACUAAAGCAUAGAGCCGAAAUCGCGGGUGCAUACGUAAGUAUGCGCGGUAGGAGAGCGUAGUUAGCAGCAUUGAAGGUGUACUGUAAGGAGCACUGGAGCGCUAACUAGUGAUGAUGCAUGGCAUAAGUACACGUUAAAGGAAGUGAGAAUCUUCCUCGCCGAAAACCUAAGGUUUCCAGGGUAAAGUUCGUCUUCCCUGGGUUAGUCGGCCCCUAAGCUGAGGCAGAAAUGCGUAGGCGAUGGGAAGCAGGUUAAAUAUUCCUGCACCACACGUAGAACAAUGUGAUGGGAUGACGGAGUAAGCAUAAGCUAAUGCGGACGAUUGGAAGAGUCCGUGUGGGUAUGAGACCGGUAGACAGGCAAAUCCGUUUACAUAAAGUCAGGUACCUACCAAGGGGAAUCAUUAGAGGAACCGAUGUAGCUGCGCGAGGCUUCCAAGAAAUAAUCUCUAAUCGAUCUAUUGUGACCGUACCAAAACCGACACUGGUGGGUGAGAAGAGUAUUCUAAGGCGCGCGAGAUAACUCUCGUUAAGGAACUCUGCAAAAUGUCCUCGUAACUUCGGGAGAAGAGGAGCUAUUGUUUGUGAUUGCACUUGCUGCAUGAGCAUUUGAUAGCCGCAGUAAAUAGGCCCAGGCGACUGUUUAACAAAAACACAGCACUAUGCCAAGGCGUAUAAGCCCAAGUAUAUGGUGUGAUGCCUGCCCAAUGCCAAAAGGUCAAAAGGAGAUGUUAGAACUUUUAGUUCGAAGCAUUGAAUUUAAGCCCUGGUGAAUGGCGGCCGUAACUAUAACGGUCCUAAGGUAGCGAAAUUCCUUGUCGGGUAAGUUCCGACCUGCACGAAUGGUAUAACGAUCUGGGCGCUGUCUCGACGAGAGACUCGGUGAAAUUGUAGUAGCGGUGAAGAUGCCGUUUACCUGCAAAAGGACGGAAAGACCCCGUGAACCUUUACUGUACUCUGAUAUGGGCUUCUGAUUUUUCAUGUGUAGGAUAACCGGGAGGCUUUGAAACUUUGUCGUCAGAUAGAGUGGAGCCAUCCUUGAAAUACCGGUCUUGGAGAGUUGGAAAUCUAACGUUACUCAGUGAAUCCUGAGGACGGACAGUGUCAGACGGGCAGUUUUACUGGGGCGGUAUCCUCCUAAAAAGUAACGGAGGAGUCCAAAGCUUACCUCAUCACGGUUGGCAAUCGUGAGUAGAGCGCAAAGGUAUAAGGUAAGUUAACUGCGAGACCUACAAGUCGAGCAGAUACGAAAGUAGGGCUUAGUGAUCCGGCGGUUGAAAGUGGAAUCGCCGUCGCUCAACGGAUAAAAGGUACUCCGGGGAUAACAGGCUUAUCGCCACCAAGAGUUCAUAUCGACGUGGCGGUUUGGCACCUCGAUGUCGGCUCAUCGCAUCCUGGGGCUGGAGAAGGUCCCAAGGGUUUGGCUGUUCGCCAAUUAAAGCGGUACGCGAGCUGGGUUCAAAACGUCGUGAGACAGUUUGGUCCCUAUCCUUUGCAGGCGUAGGAUACUUGAGAGGAGCUGCUUCUAGUACGAGAGGACCGAAGUGGACGAACCAAUGGUGUUCCAGUUGUUCUGCCAAGAGCAUUGCUGGGUAGCUAUGUUCGGAAAGGAUAAGCGUUGAAAGCAUAUAAACGCCAAGCCUCCCUCAAGAUAAGGUAUCCCUAUCGAGACCCCUUGAAGACUACAAGGUAGAUAGGCUGGAUGUGGAAGCGCAGCAAUGUGUGAAGCUGACCAGUACUAAUAGGUCCAUUGACUUGACCUU